AUUGAACGCUGGCGGCAGGCCUAACACAUGCAAGUCGAACGAGCGGCGGACGGGUGAGUAAUGUAUGGGGAUCUGCCCGAUGGAGGGGGAUAACUACUGGAAACGGUGGCUAAUACCGCAUACUAUCGGAUGCGCCCAUAUGGGAUUAGCUAGUCGGUGGGGUAAUGGCUCACCUAGGCGACGAUCCCUAGCUGGUCUGAGAGGAUGAUCAGCCACACUGGAACUGAGACACGGUCCAGACUCCUACGGGAGGCAGCAGUGGGGAAGAUUGCACAAUGGGCGCAAGCCUGAUACAGCCAUGCCGCGUGUAUGAAGAAGGCCUUCGGGUUGUAAAGUACUUUCAGCGGGGAGGCGUUACUCGCAGAAGAAGCACCGGCUAACUCCGUGCCAGCAGCCGCGGUAAUUC
rnacentral:rRNA from 1 species